rnacentral:rRNA from 1 species
UUGAUCCUGCCGGAGGCCACUGCUAUGGGGGUCCGACUAAGCCAUGCGAGUCAUGGGGCGCCUUGCGCGCACCGGCGGACGGCUCAGUAACACGUCGGUAACCUACCCUCGGGAGGGGGAUAACCCCGGGAAACUGGGGCUAAUCCCCCAUAGGCCUGAGGUACUGGAAGGUCCUCAGGCCGAAAGGGGCUCUGCCCGCCCGAGAUGGGCCGGCGGCCGAUUAGGUAGUUGGUGGGGUAACGGCCCACCAAGCCGAAGAUCGGUACGGGCCAUGAGAGUGGGAGCCCGGAGAUGGACACUGAGACACGGGUCCAGGCCCUACGGGGCGCAGCAGGCGCGAAACCUCCGCAAUGCGGGCAACCGCGACGGGGGGACCCCCAGUGCCGUGGCAUCGCCACGGCUUUUCCGGAGUGUAAAAAGCUCCGGGAAUAAGGGCUGGGCAAGGCCGGUGGCAGCCGUCGCGGUAAUACCGGCGGCCCGAGUGGUGGCCGCUAUUAUUGGGCCUAAAGCGUCCGUAGCCGGGCCCGUAAGUCCCUGGCGAAAUCCCACGGCUCAACCGUGGGGCUUGCUGGGGAUACUGCGGGCCUUGGGACCGGGAGAGGCCGGGGGUACCCCUGGGGUAGGGGUGAAAUCCUAUAAUCCCAGGGGGACCGCCAGUGGCGAAGGCGCCCGGCUGGAACGGGUCCGACGGUGAGGGACGAAGGCCAGGGGAGCGAACCGGAUUAGAUACCCGGUAGUCCUGGCUGUAAAGGAUGCGGGCUAGGUGUCGGGCGAGCUUCGAGCUCGCCCGGUGCCGAAGGGAAGCCGUUAAGCCCGCCGCCUGGGGAGUACGGCCGCAAGGCUGAAACUUAAAGGAAUUGGCGGGGGAGCACUACAAGGGGUGGAGCGUGCGGUUUAAUUGGAUUCAACGCCGGGAAGGGC